rnacentral:rRNA from 1 species
AACGGCCAUACCAUGCUGAAUAUAUCGGUUCUCGUUAGAUCACCGAAGUCAAAGCAUCAUUGGGCGCGGUUAGUACUUGUUGGGUGACCACCUGGGAACACCGCGUGCCGUU